CUUACCAAAGACACCUUAGUGUUUGUCUGUUGCAACAAGUUCUGCAGUUUUGUUUUGCAUUGAAAACUAAAAGUAUGGUACCUAUACGUGCAGCAUUCAUAUCAGGCAGGACAAUCAGCCCCAAAAUAAUGAUCUCAGGGAGAACAGAAGUUUAGCUGCAGCAGAGAGAAUGGAAGCUACUAAGUAAUUUCUGACCAGAUUGUGAGUCGCUGUCGUUUCUCCGUAUUUGAAUUUUACAUGGCUAGAUUAGCUAAGUCACUUGCCAUCUAUUUAUGUUUCUUUCUCAAGUCUCUGCUGUAAAUGAUGUAUGCUUUCCUUGGAGCAUGAUCUCAUUGUCAUUAACUCCCUUUUUGCUUUUGGUAAGUUGCACUGGCAGUAUGUAAUUACUGUAGAAAAACGAGUUAAAUUUUCAUCUAUUAUUACACGGUACUAUAUAGUCUAGUACAAUUUUCCAAACAUGCUCUUUAGGUGUCUACAAUAUAUCUUGUUAUGGUGUUUGAAUGGAGCCGAGCCAAGUGGCG
rnacentral:lncRNA from 1 species